UUGAACGCUGGCGGCAGGCCUAACACAUGCAAGUCGAGCGGAGGUAGCAAUACCUUAGCGGCGGACGGGUGAGGAAUGCAUCGGAACGUGCCGAGUCGUGGGGGAUAACGCAGGGAAACUUGCGCUAAUACCGCAUACGCCCCGAGGGGGAAAGUGGGGGACCGCAAGGCCUCACGCGAUUUGAGCGGCCGAUGCCCGAUUAGCUAGUUGGUGAGGUAAAGGCUCACCAAGGCGACGAUCGGUAGCUGGUCUGAGAGGAUGAUCAGCCACACUGGAACUGAGACACGGUCCAGACUCCUACGGGAGGCAGCAGUGGGGAAUAUUGGACAAUGGGGGCAACCCUGAUCCAGCCAUGCCGCGUGAGUGAAGAAGGCCUUCGGGUUGUAAAGCUCUUUAAGCGGGGAGGAAGGUUCGUAACUUAAUACGUUGCGGAAUUGACGUUACCUGCAGAAUAAGCACCGGCUAACUCUGU
rnacentral:rRNA from 1 species